UAGCGCAGGAAUGUAAGAUUUAAUCACGUGUGAUCACUUAAGACGCGUCUAGUUCCAGUCGUGAUUGCAUAUCCGAACAGACGUACAUUUAAAAUCUGAACUUGGCCUUGUGGGCCAAUACACAAACAUGACUAAACAAACAAAGAUGAUUUUUCCGAGCAGUGCGUUUUCCCUGCAAAUCAACUGUUAGGUGAAUUCUCUUCACAUGUUACAGUCCGCAUCCCUCAGAUCAACACCUGGAGGCUCCCGAACAGUGAUAAAGACAAACGCUCCAUCAUUGUCCUCCGUCCCACAGAGUAUCGGCUCACAUUAGUGAAGACAAAGAGGAGACUCUAAAGGUGUGACAUCAUCAUCCUAGGAGCUGAGCUGACACAGCAGAUUUUGUGCCGAUUCCCACGUCAGGGCUCUCGAACUGAAACAAGAUAAUGAUUGUGUUCAAAAAACACUUAAAACCCCUCAUGUGUCAGAGAAUGCAAGGUUGGCUGGAGAGGGAACUGAAAGAACCAAAUUCAUUGCUUUGCUCGAAAGCCAAGUGCCUUGUCGAUGCAACUGGCCGACGGAGCUAGACAAAUGUGCCCCAAGGCCGACCUAAGGCUGGCUGGGAAUGAUCUGCCUAUGGGGAACCACAGACCUAAAUGUCACAGACAGUCAUGGGUCAGGGGUGCUGUCAGCGUGAGACACGAAGGGGGGCUGCCUCUUCUUCAUCUCAACAACCUUCCCCCAAGGUGUCACUCGGGUGACGGACACGGCCGCUUUCCGCUACCGAUUGUUUUUUGGUUAUAAAAGCUCGUCUGUUGUCAGUCGCUCAGGCCAUCAGGAAAUUACCCCCAUGUGGAUGCUGGGAGGAAACAAAACGUAAGAAAGGAAAUAUAAUUAGAUUUUCAAACAAAACAAAAAAGGAAAUUGCCGGGUAGCUCCUGGUUGCAUAUGAAUUACACGAGGAGAGAGAGAGAAGAACGGCGGGCUCGGGAAUAAUUGUCAAAUAAUGGCGCUCUAGUCAAUUGUGAUCUGUUUGUUGGACUCACAGGACUCGAUGACUCCCGCACACAGUAUCUGUCUGGGCUGUGGCUUUUUUCACCUGAUAUAUUUGGCACAAUACUUUAUGGUUUGAGCAAAGUAUUGAUUGAAACUCCUGUGCUGAGGUGUUGACAGGGUGUGGAGGACACCGAGGUGAUGAACGCCGAGUUUCCGAUGUCCUCGUUUGUCUCGUGAAUGUGAACCUCGUUGUCGAUCUGCAUCUUUCCAGGAUUGUCUGCGGUUACGCACGUUGGAUAUUUAUCACGUGAGG